rnacentral:rRNA from 1 species
UUGAACGCUGGCGGCAGGCCUAACACAUGCAAGUCGAGCGCGAAAGGUUUUCGGACUGAGUAAAGCGGCGGACGGGUGAGUAACGCGUGGGAAUCUGCCCAGUAGUGGGGGACAACAGCCGGAAACGGCUGCUAAUACCGCAUACGCCCUACGGGGGAAAGGGGGGGAUCUUCGGACCUCUCGCUAUUGGAUGAGCCCGCGUCGGAUUAGCUAGUUGGUAGGGUAAAGGCCUACCAAGGCUACGAUCCGUAACUGGUCUGAGAGGAUGAUCAGUCACACUGGAACUGAGACACGGUCCAGACUCCUACGGGAGGCAGCAGUGGGGAAUAUUGGACAAUGGGGGCAACCCUGAUCCAGCCAUGCCGCGUGUGUGAAGAAGGCCUUAGGGUUGUAAAGCACUUUCAGUGGGGAGAAAGGUUUGUCACCUAAUACGUGAUGAAAUUGAUGUUACCCACAGAAGAAGCACCGGCUAACUCCGUGCCAGCCGCCGCCGUAA